GACGAACGCUGGCGGCGUGCUUAACACAUGCAAGUCGAGCGGCGCGGCGAACGGGUGAGUAACGCGUGAGUAACUGCCCCCCUCCCUGGGAUGACAGUUGGAAACGGCUGCUAAUACCGGAUAGGGGGGGAUGGCUCGCGGCCUAUCAGCUUGUUGGUGGGGUAGUGUCAUACCACGGCGACGACGGGUUGCCGGCCUGAGAGGGGGACCGGCCACAUUGGGCUACGGUACGCACCAAACUCGUACGGGGGGCAGCAGUGGGGAAUAUGGCACAAUGGGGGAAACCGUGAUACAGAAACGCCGGGUGCGGGAUGACGGCCUUCGGGUUGUAAACCGCUUUCAGCCAUGACGCGGUAGUGGCAGAAGAAGCACCGGCUAACUACGUGCCAGCCGCCGCGGUAAUUC
rnacentral:rRNA from 1 species